CGAACGAGAAGGCCCAUUGAAGUUUAUUGAAGUUGGAGUGCUUGCACAAAGAUGGAUUUAAAUGGAUUUGGAUUCCCUUCUAGUGGCAGACGGGUGAGUAACACGUGGGUAAUCUACCUCAGGGACUGGGAUAACGUUGGAAACGAACGAUAAUACCGGAUGAUUCAUAUUUAGAUAACUAGAUAUGCUAAAAGGAGCUUCGGCUUCACCUUGAGAUGAGCUUGCGGUGUAUUAGCUAGUUGGUGAGGUAAUGGCUCACCAAGGCAACGAUGCAUAUCCGCGCUGAGAGGCUGAUCGGACACAUUGGGACUGAGACACGGCCCAGACUCCUACGGGAGACAGCAGUUAGGAAUAUUCGUCAAUGGGGGAAACCCUGAACGAGCAAUGCCGCGUGAGUGAAUGAAGGUCUUAUAGAUUGUAAAACUCUGUUACAAAGGAAGAACACUUAUUAUAGGUAAUGAUGAUAAGUUGACGGUACUUUGCCAGAAAGCCCCGGCUAACUACGUGCCAGCCGCCGC
rnacentral:rRNA from 1 species